UGAACUCUACAACAAAAUGAAAUAAACUGGGAUUCAUAUAAUUUCAUCUGGUUUGCUCAGCUCCAAAGAGAUGAAAAUUGAAUUAUCUGGAGUAUGAGAGUGUUGUUUGAAACAAGUUAGUAAUAAUUUAAAAAACAGCUCUUAAGUAAACUUUUCCCUCUUCCCAAUUACAAGGCAUGGGAGAAAAGAAAAAUAGACAUUUAAGCUUAGAAAUCACAGGAGACUUCCAGGGCUGCUUUGCCUGUCCCCAGCUCUCUUAAAUGGGGAGCUAGUCAGACGGUACCUGGGGAACAGAGGGAGGAGGGAGAGCACUUACUACACAUCAAGAAGGUAAAUAUAAACCCCAAAGGCUUACGUUACUCAUCAGACCACAAUAUGGCCUGGUACUAAGCAGCGCGCGUGUGGAAGGCUGGGUGGGGUGC
rnacentral:lncRNA from 1 species